rnacentral:rRNA from 1 species
GAUGAACGCUAGCGGGAGGCUUAACACAUGCAAGUCGAGGGGCAGCAUGGGGUAGCAAUACCCUGAUGGCGACCGGCAAACGGGUGAGUAACGCGUAUGUAACCUACCCUGUACAGGGGGAUAACCCGGAGAAAUUCGGACUAAUAUCCCAUAACAAUAUCUGGAGGCAUCUUUGGAUAUUUAAAGUUCCGGCGGUACGGGAUGGGCAUGCGUAACAUUAGCUAGUUGGUAAGGUAACGGCUUACCAAGGCUUUGAUGUUUAGGGGUCCUGAGAGGGUGGUCCCCCACACUGGUACUGAGACACGGACCAGACUCCUACGGGAGGCAGCAGUGAGGAAUAUUGGACAAUGGGCGCAAGCCUGAUCCAGCCAUGCCGCGUGCAGGAUGACGGUCCUAUGGAUUGUAAACUGCUUUUGCACAGGAAGAAACAACGCUACGUGUAGCGUCUUGACGGUACUGUGAGAAUAAGGAUCGGCUAACUCCGUG